CAGAGCUUCAUUCCAAAACUGCUGCAGAGUAAGCCUCAUAUUUGCUCUCCGUGGCCACUCUGCCUGCUUGGCUUUCAGUGGCCUGCAGACUUUAAAAGCAUCCACCACACACUCAGCUGUCUACUUUCUGUCUCCUUUCCUCCCCGCUGGUUGAUCUCAUGCCAGUCAAUUGCUGCUUUCUAAAGCCGCCAAGAGAAUCAGAAUGUUUGGAUUUAACUCUGGAUAACUUUCCUGCAGCGGUCAUCAUUACAUAAACUACCAGCGUUGCAGCUUUGCAUCCAAUGUGCUCACGAUGAGUCGGAAACAUGCACUGCAGCUCAGCCCUCGUGUGCCGUGGAUACGAACUCCACCUCGCUAUGGUUACUGGCAGCCAAACAGCAGUCAACAGUGCAGCGAACCGGAGGCGAUCCGUCGCCUGCCAGACCAAACUCCAUUUGAGCGAGCUCGUAUCUGCUCUGCAUCAACCCCUGCAGCACACGGCACAUUUUUCACCCUUAGGAUUGAAUUCUAUUUGCUCUCUACUGUUACGAGCCCCACACUGCUAAAUCAGCAGAUAUGCAGAACACUUGAAUCCAACAUUCAUGCUCCGCAUCCCCAAGUAAAUGUUUCCGAGGAAUGUUCUACUUCUUAGGCCCCACGAAUUUGAUUAUGGAGCACGUACACAGUGUGUUUAUAAACAACAAAUAACAUCCCUCCUGCAAGCUGGAGACAUAUGUUACAAUAACGUUUCGGAUGUUUCUCUCGUCCUGCAGAUAUUUCAUUGCUCCUAAUGUGUGUACAACAUGGAAAAGCAUCUGUCUUCGGGGGAUUCUGUGCUGUAGGACAUUUACAGGUGAAGACAAGAGAAGCUUUAUCCUGCUGCACUUAGGGAAACAUCGUGUGAAAGUUUCCCCUCUCCUCUGCCUGACACAUCUGUAUGUCCUGCUAUGAGAGGCUCCUUCACCGACACCUCAAUGUGAAAGACAGUGUGCACUUUAUGCAGCUCUGUUGUGGAGGUCGGGUGGAAAGUUAAGCCGGGUCUGAGCUGUGCUUUCUUUGGCUCUCUGAGCCAAAACGUAUUCAUCUGCAAACUGACAGCUUCACCGUAGCCCAGGAAAUGGAGGAGCCUGAUCCGCCAGGUAUUUGUGUAUGUCUUGUUUCCCCAACCCCAUUCACCAUCUCCCUAAAGCGAGGCAGCAAAGCCAAAGACAAAGAAUUGAGUAAUUAGCCUGCAUUUCUGUUUUUGUUUGUU
ensembl:lncRNA